AAUCAACGCUGGCGGCGUGCCUCAGACAUGCAAGUCGAACGCGAAAGUUUCCUUCGGGGGAUGAGUAGAGUGGCGCACGGGUGAGUAACACGUAGGUAAUCUACCUUUGGAUGGGGAAUAACAAUCGGAAACGGUUGCUAAUACCGCAUAAUGCAGCGGCACCUAAUGGUGACAGUUGUUAAAGCGGGGGAUCGAAAGACCUCGCGUCUGAAGAGGAGCCUGCGGCGGAUUAGCUAGUUGGUAAGGUAACGGCUUACCAAGGCGACGAUCCGUAGCCGGCCCGAGAGGGCGGUCGGCCACACUGACACUGACAUACGGGUCAGACUCCUACGGGAGGCAGCAGUCGGGAAUUUUGGGCAAUGGGCGAAAGCCUGACCCAGCAACGCCGCGUGAAGGAUGAAAUCCCUCGGGAUGUAAACUUCGCAAGAACGGGAAGAAUAAGUAGGGGACAAUACCCCCUAUGAUGACGGUACCGUUUGUAAGCUCCGGCUAACU
rnacentral:rRNA from 1 species